CAUAUCAGAUGAUGAAAUUGGAAUAAUCUUAGGACACCUUCCUACACAGUAAUUAUUGCUGUGAAUGAGAAUGAAGUUUCCAUGCUGAUGAUGUG
rfam:Lupinus angustifolius cultivar Tanjil contig_54778, whole genome shotgun sequence.